rnacentral:lncRNA from 1 species
UUCCUUAUUUAAUAAAAAUCUCAAAACUGCCCUUUAGACAUUUUUGGGAUAAGAAAUGAGUUAGAAUAAUUAAAUAGAAUAAUAUAAUAUUUUUUUAAAAACAUAAUAUAAUAUCCAGAUGAAAAAAAAGUUAAUUAUAUUUAUAUUUUUUGAACAUUUUGAUAAAAAAAACCAAAAACUAAAGAAAUUAUAAUAAAUAAAAAUCGGGCGCGAAAAUGCCCAAAAAAUUAAAAUGAAUGCACUAAAAUGGCCAGUGUGAAAUAAACCUUUAGAAAAC